AGCCCCUGUGUGACGUGGCACGACACGUGUCGCAUAACGCCCACAAAAGGGCUUUAUGACUACACAUGGCCUAAGCGAGAAGGAGAAAAGGGGUGAAGGAGAACUUCACUAAUACCACACAAAACCUGCAAAUCAAAGGUCUUUAAUGGCUGAAAAUUGAUGCAUGAAGUGAAAUUAUUGAUCAUCUAGUUAUUCUUGACAUAAGGAGUAAAGGAAGAGAGCACGAGCCAAUCCGGGUCGCAAACAAAGCAAGAUAAAGGUAAAUUGUAUGCUUAGGAAUGGCGAGCUUGGGACGAACACACCUCAAUGCCCUCUAUGCGCUUCCGGUUAUGUUUAAUGUCAAACGGGUCAAAACUCUUUUGGAUUGUAAAUGCCACUUUUAUACUUAAUGUCUUUUGUAAGUAAGUUAAAUCGGUAUUUGUGGUUUGGUAGUUUGAACAAAUGUUGCAUGAAAUGCUUUGAUGGCUAUGAAUUUUAUAUUUAA